rnacentral:rRNA from 1 species
CAGUCGAACGCUUCUUUUUCCCCGGAGCUUGCUCCACCGGAAAAAGAAGAGUGGCGAACGGGUGAGUAACACGUGGGUAACCUGCCCAUCAGAAGGGGAUAACACUUGGAAACAGGUGCUAAUACCGUAUAACAAUCAAAACCGCAUGGUUUUGAUUUGAAAGGCGCUUUCGGGUGUCGCUGAUGGAUGGACCCGCGGUGCAUUAGCUAGUUGGUGAGGUAACGGCUCACCAAGGCCACGAUGCAUAGCCGACCUGAGAGGGUGAUCGGCCACAUUGGGACUGAGACACGGCCCAAACUCCUACGGGAGGCAGCAGUAGGGAAUCUUCGGCAAUGGACGAAAGUCUGACCGAGCAACGCCGCGUGAGUGAAGAAGGUUUUCGGAUCGUAAAACUCUGUUGUUAGAGAAGAACAAGGAUGAGAGUAACUGUUCAUCCCUUGACGGUAUCUAACCAGAAAGCCACGGCUAACUACGUGCCAGCAGCCGCGGUAAUACGUAGGUGGCAAGCGUUGUCCGGAUUUAUUGGGCGUAAAGCGAGCGCAGGCGGUUUCUUAAGUCUGAUGUGAAAGCCCCCGGCUCAACCGGGGAGGGUCAUUGGAAACUGGGAGACUUGAGUGCAGAAGAGGAGAGUGGAAUUCCAUGUGUAGCGGUGAAAUGCGUAGAUAUAUGGAGGAACACCAGUGGCGAAGGCGGCUCUCUGGUCUGUAACUGACGCUGAGGCUCGAAAGCGUGGGGAGCAAACAGGAUUAGAUACCCUGGUAGUCCACGCCGUAAACGAUGAGUGCUAAGUGUUGGAGGGUUUCCGCCCUUCAGUGCUGCAGCUAACGCAUUAAGCACUCCGCCUGGGGAGUACGACCGCAAGGUUGAAACUCAAAGGAAUUGACGGGGGCCCGCACAAGCGGUGGAGCAUGUGGUUUAAUUCGAAGCAACGCGAAGAACCUUACCAGGUCUUGACAUCCUUUGACCACUCUAGAGAUAGAGCUUCCCCUUCGGGGGCAAAGUGACAGGUGGUGCAUGGUUGUCGUCAGCUCGUGUCGUGAGAUGUUGGGUUAAGUCCCGCAACGAGCGCAACCCUUAUUGUUAGUUGCCAUCAUUC